UUGUAUAACCACAGACGUCAGAAAUUGACACAGCGGGAAAGCUAGUAAAUUAUGGACGAGCGAGUGAAAAAAUGCAAUCAAAAACCUUUGGCAUACACCGUGUGUUUAUUUUCUUUGAUUAUAAUCCCCACUUUAUCAAUCAUUUGUGUGGCAAUGCCUGAACAAGUAUUAUUUGAAGUGUAUUACUUUGAGUCAUCCACAGUCAAAACGACUGUUCUUUAUGCCACAACAGCAACCUUCUUUAACAUGUUUUUCGCAAGUUUGUUACUAGCCUUUGGCAUCAAAGAAGGUAAAAGUUUGUAUAUUCUUGUCUGGAUUUUGGUCAUGGUCGUAUCCUGGAACAUGCAUUUGGUAUUUUCGGUCUUUUCAGCCUCGAAUUUUGUCAUAGAGGGACUGGAGGAAGAAUUUAGUCAAAAUUAUGGCCUAAUUCUUGUAUUUUUUGGACUAGUCGUUUGGCUCGCAACUAUAAUCUUUAUGUGGUUUUAUUGGAAGGAAAUGAAGUCAGGCAAUAAUAAUGUUUCAAAUUUUGCGGAAUUGGUCGCACUGAAAAGGCGAAGAGCGCCCCCUAAUGAGGAAGAAGCCCAAUCAUAGUUUUGCUACCGUCGUAAAGAUGCCGCACUAAUUAAUUGCAAGGUUGUUGGUAAGAGGCCGCCUCAUGCCCCAACUCGGUGAUUCCCAUAGGGCGUGCAGGUGAACUCCCCGAUCAAAAAGAAAGUUUUUCAAUUUUCUGUAGCUAUUAAAAAUAAAUUACCCGCAUUUGGGAUGUGUAAGGUAUCGCUUCCGCAA